AAAUUAGGGAUCUGGGUUACUACUCGUUACUGUUCAUCGAUUGGGUUUGGGUCUUUUGUUUUCUAGAUUCCGGCGAGGAGGGAGAUAUCAUAUCGGGAAACGGGAAAUCGGAUCUGAGCUGGGGAAAAGUCAUGGCCAUCGCCCCUCUUCCUCAACAAUUUCGCUAAGCUCCGACCAGCAGCAGGCUCCGCUGCCGCAAAAAUUGCCACCUCCCAGAUAUCGCAUGUCAGGCGAGCAAAUCGCCGGUCUAUAUCAUCGCCGCCUGGUGUACAAGCAACACCGGCUGCUAGCUGCCACAACUAUCUCCACCGGCCUUAUCUUCACCUCAAAUUUUGAUCUGAGUCACCCGUAUCGCCCCCUUUCAAUCUGGGUUCUCAGAUUUCCAUCUCAAAUCACGCCGGGAAAAAGACAGAAUUGAACCAGCGACGUCAGGGAAGAAAACUCUGGCGGCCUGAGCGACGUCAGCGAAGAAAACUCCGGCGGCCUCCGCCGUGCCUCCUGAGGCGGCCGACAUUUCUGAACUCUUGGCACCUGAAUUCUAGCGUAGCUCCGGGGAAAAGCUCCCACGAUCAUGGCCAUUUCUCUAUUUCUCUCUUUUAAGUUUUGUCUCUGCUGCUAAUCAUACUCUUUCUCUUGUAGAAACUCCAAUGGUGCUCUGACUUGGGGGGAGGGCAACUCGAUCCUUGUCGGAACCAGGCCGAUUUCCUCCAGAAUCGCACUGGCGAGGGUUUUAAUUUGAUAAGGAAAAACGAAAAGGGGAACUGGGGAAGAAUGAGGGAUCUUGGAAAUCUUAAGAUCGGCGAGCAACCACUGCUGUAAAAUCGAUUCAUUGUCAGUGUCUCAUCCGGCGAUGGAAGAAAAGUUCAGCGAUUAGAGGGGGAUACCCAAGCUGUUGAGUUCGUUCCCCGGUUGUCCUGCUUUUGCCUCCGGUUGGAUGACCGGAGGGGGCUACGAUCGCUGCUGCGAGACAGAAAUUCAAAGCUCAACACAUUUGGGACGCUAAUUUGUCAAAGGCAAUGUUGAACGGCCGACGAUAGAGCUUUCAGGCCAGAUGAACAUCGUCUAAAGAAGAAGAUAAGUUCUUGAUUCACUGGCUUGAGCCUUUAUUUAUACUUUUAUCUUAAUUGUGUUGAUGGUUUUCAAUUCCAUGGAGCAAUGACGUUUUUGCCAUGAAUUAAAUUUUUCUUAGUCUCAUAAGAAAUUUCCUUUUGUGAUUGCUUACUGGUGUUGAGUAAGAGCUCUGUUGAGAUGCGAGAAGAAUUUCAAUGUGCGUUCUGAUAUUGAUCUAAAGAUUGAGGAUAUUUUGAUAUUUGGGUAUUCUUUGGUAUUUUAAGAUCAUUAGCUUAGAUUUAUUGCUAUUUUGAAUUAUGGAAUUGAACAUUACAAUUGUUGGGAUAAGACCGUGGAGAUAUAUGCCUUUAUGUGCAUGAUUGAGUUAUUAUGGGGCAUUUAAAUUAACUCUUCAUGAUUUGGUUUUGAUGUUCGUGGGGCCUUAUUUGAAUUUUGGUGAUUGAAUUUGAGUUUAUUGGUUGGUUAUGAUUUGGCUUUGAUCUCAGCUCAGCGCUGAAGAGGGCAGCGCAGGCGAGGGCCUUUGAGGGCAGCGCAGGCAUGGCAGUAAUCCUCGAGGGCAGCGCAGUACGGUAGUCUUCGAGGCAGUACAGGUUCACAAGGAAGAUUUAGUCUUGCUGCUCAGCCCGGGAAGAAAUUCUCAAUAUUCAGCGCAGGUUCAUGGGUUCAUGGAGACGCACCAGAGGGCAGCCUCAGUCGCGCGAUUGAGGAGAAGCUCCAGCGCAGCUCUUAGCAUCUGAAUUCCGGCGCAGAUCCUUUCCUUUUUUCUCUCUUUUAACUUUUAUUUCUGCUGCUAAUUUCUUUCACCAGGAUUUGGUUAAUCUUUGGCCGUAGAGGCAGAUUUUCGCUGGAGCAUGAAGCUGGUACCGCAAGACGUAUGUAAUUCUUUCCCCAAAGGGGUCCAACAAGCCAUCGGGAUCCGAGGUUGGAAAUUUGGGAAUCACAAAAAUAGAGCCCUGAAGGCCAACGAGUUUGAACAUUCCGAGAUUAAUUUACAGCUAAGUUACAGUUUCUCAAAUUCCUUUGAUGCUAUGUUUAACGUUUAUUGUUUGUGGGUCAUGUACAUUGUGGAAGACGGCAUAGAAUGGCAUGUUUCUAUUGAACACCCUUACUUAAUUUGUGGAGCGCUUGCUGUUGGGAGUUAUUUUGAAUUGCUGAAGAUUUCCUGAAUAUAUACUAUGAUCUCAUAACUACCCGGUCAUAUGCCUAUAGAUCUUUUCGAGCUUGGUUAAGAGAAAAUAAUUAUGUGGAGAUGCUCUCCUUCGAUUGACUAUACUUUGUAUUUUGGGUACUUUAGAAUUUGUUUAGUCUCCUAGGACAAAGCUUAACUUUGUUCCUGGCAGAUCGUGCUAUAGAAUUAUGCCUGUGAUUUGUUCCUUUACUCAAUGUAUGGCUUGCUAUGUCAGUAGUAUGAAAUUAUCAAUUCCAUUCCCUGAAUCUCUAAGAAUCGAAGCAUGUUGUGUUGGGGGUUUCAUUUAAUUCUUGAGUUGAUGAAACCUGAUGAUCUACUGAAUUUGUUUGCGUGAUUAUUGGAAUAAGAUCAAUGAUGAUUGGGAGAUAAGCACAUUCACAAAUCAAUUUGUUGGGAAGUGCAUUCAUUUGUUAGUGUUUUUCAAAUUAUUUUCAUACUGAAAUCAAUUCUAUAACCUCAAUCGCUUGUUUUGCUUGUAAUCUCUCUUUUCGUUGUUUGAUUUUUGUGCAAGGAAUAUCAAGUAAAACUCGAGUGCUUAAGAGAAUUAUUAAGAGAGCCUAGUGAUUCUAUCGAAGACCUGGUUUCUAGUUGCUAGCUAUUUAUUUACAAAGAUUCGAGUCAGGGAUGAAUUCAGUCCGGAUCUCGUGUAAAAACAGAAACAAAAGCUGAGUCAUUUGUCUCCCUUUACUGCGUUGAAUUGGAGAUAUUGAUGGAGAAUCCUGCGAAAAUAAUAUCCAUGGUCGCAGCUAUAUGUUCAGCAUUGAUUCAAAGAGAUUUGGUUUCGACGAAGCCUCAGCGGCAAGGGCAUUCAUGAUAGCCCGGAUAACAUCCAUGGCGUCCUUAACGACAAGAAAAGCUAAGUUAUCUAUUUCUCUUCACUUUAUUGAACUCUUGGGAAUCAAUCAUGUUUCUUCUGCUAGGUAUCAUAGCUAGUAUUGAUUUGAACACUUGAAUAUUGGUUUAAUUGGUCGGGAUAGGGACAUAACAUGGUGUCAGAUGGGACUUCGCUUAUACAGCAGUGCUAAUUCCGCUCUAAAUUGAUGAAGCAAUGUUUCAUGGAUGGUGAAUUAUUUAUUGUGACUUGCAUUAUUUUGGAAAUACUUUGUGGAUUUCUUGGAAUUAAAUUGAACUACCUUGACCUCACUAAUUUACUUACUGACAUCGAUUUAUUCAGGAACACAUUAUCUAAAUUUUUGAACUGAAAUUUACACUCAAGUUAUCUAAAUUAUGGGAAAUUGAUGUGGCAGCGUUGUUUUAUGUUUUUUCUAUAAUCUCAGAGCAGAGCUGGUGUUGGAGCUAGGAGCUUGUUGAACUUCCAAGUGUCAUAUUGGACAAGUCUUCAAUUUGGCUGUUACGGCACUCCAGCCUGCGGGCUUUAUUAAAGUCUUGAUACGAAGAGGUUUUCCAGUAUCACAAGAAGCACAGGAAUAGGCUGUCAGUUUCCCACGCUGACUCAGCAUCAUUAUUUAGCGCAGUAAAAGGUCGCCGGGUUGCAGCGUUGCUUGGGAAUUCUCAGCGAAACGAAGGAAUAUGCUGCGCAGCGCAGGGAGAAGGGAGAAGGGUAGCUCAUUAGCCGCGCCGAGGCAACGCAGGGAAGGAGAGGGCAGCUCAUUAACUACACUGAUGCAGUAUGCUGAUGCAGCGCAGGAACUCUACAUUAUCUCAGCGCAGAAUAUAAUAGUCGUAAUGUAACGAAGGUAACCCACUAACUAGUGGUGAUCCAGCACAUCAGUAAUGGUUAACAAUGCUGGAAAACCUGCUUCGGCAGAAAAUGAGCUUUAGUGGCAAUUCAGCCACGCUUCGGAGGGGAAAGCCUUAAGCAGAAUUUGGGUCUUCUCAGCGCAGUCAGGAUAUUUAUCUCAGCUACCACUGCGCAGUUAUCUCAGCGCAGCUAUCUCAGUUAUCUUAGCUACCUCAGGGCAGCUACCUCAGCGCAGCUAUCUCAGCACUGUCAGGGCAGCUAUCUCAGCUAUCUCAGAGCAGCUACCUAGUUAUCUCAGCUACCUCAGGGCAGCUACCUCAACGCAGUUAUCUCAGCGCAGUCAGGACAUUUAUCUCAGCGCAGCUAUCUCAGUUAUCUCAGUAGUUUUCAGCGCAGAAUGUCCGAGCCGUUGUCAGUUCAGAAUGUCUAUGCUCCGCGCAGGAAUAUCGUAAGCCGCGAAAGUUAGACAGGGUUCUUUGAUUGUCUAUGCUCCGCGCAGGAAUAUCGUAAGCCGCGAAAGUUAGACAGGGGUGUACCAUCUUAAGGGCCGCGUUGCGGAAAUGUACCAUCUUAAUGGCCGCGUUGCGGAGGGGUGUACCAUCUUAAGGGCCGCGUUGCGGAAAUGUACCAUCUUAAGGGCCGCGCUGCGGAAAUGUACCAUCUUAAGGGCCGCGUUGCGGAAAUGUACCAUCUUAAGGGCCGCGUUGCGGAGAGGUACUAUCUUAAGGGCCGCGUUGCGGGAGUGUAUCAUCUUUGUCAGUGCAGGUAGUGCAGCGCAGUCAGCGCGGAGUUGUCAGCGCAGUCGGUGCAGCGCAGUCAGCGCGAGGUUGUCAACGCAGAUCACUUGAGUCUUCCCAGCAUAUGUUAUCUAAGCCCUUAUUAUCUUUAAUGAUGUUCGACGAAUCAAAAGGAAUAAUUGCUAUCUCUUUUAUCUCAGCUUAUUUCCAGCAUUAAAAUACUUUGUCUUUAUCAUUUUUGCAAAGAUUGACAGUUCUUGUCUAAUAAGUCGCAGGGAAUCGUGUAUGCUUAAUUGACACGGGAGAGCAGCACAGCGCUGACUUCACACCACACACCACUAGUUGAACAAAGAGAACGCUGUUCAACUAGACUAGGGGGGAGUAGCUGAUGAGGACUGUAAUUCCCAUCAGCGCUGUGCUUAGCAAUCUAAGCCUAUUUUACCUUAUUAUUACUAUUAUUAUUAUUAUUACAGAAACUAACAGCGCAGGUACGAUCGGAUAUCUUGGAUAAAAGAGUAAGAAAUCAACCUAAGUAGAUGGAGUGAAGAAUGAUUGCACACAGAAACCUUCCCACGCAGCCAAGGUGCCUUCCUGCGCAGCCAAGUAGCUUUCCCGUGCAGCCGCGCAGCCAGACCAGAGCAGAGCAGCGCAGACCAGAGCAGAGCAGCGCAGACCAAAGUAGCGCGGCAGCGCUGCGCAGUCAGAGCAGCGUCACCAAAGUGCCUUUCCUGCGCAGCUACGUAUGAUAGUUCAACUUC